AUUUCGUGAUGAGGGAAUUUCUUUAACAGCUCUUUAAAUCUUUCUCAUGACUCAUAUAGAGAUUUGUCAUCAAUUUUUUGGAAGGUCAUGAUUUCAUUCCGUAACU
rnacentral:snoRNA from 1 species